rnacentral:rRNA from 1 species
UAGAACGUCGUGAGACAGUUCGGUCCCUAUCUGCCGUGGGCGCUGGAGAAUUGAGGGGGGCUGCUCCUAGUACGAGAGGACCGGAGUGGACGCAUCACUGGUGUUCGGGUUGUCAUGCCAAUGGCAUUGCCCGGUAGCUAAAUGCGGAAGAGAUAAGUGCUGAAAGCAUCUAAGCACGAAACUUGCCCCGAGAUGAGUUCUCCCUGAGACUUUAAGUCUCCUGAAGGAACGUUAAAGACUAUAACGUUGAUAGGUCGGGUGUGUAAGCGCAGCGAUGCGUUGAGCUAACCGAUACUAAUGAACCGUGAGGCUUAACCUU